UUGAAUUAUAGUAGAAUUUUAUUUUGAGUUCUUUUUUAUUAUUAUUGUUUUUGUUUUAGUAUGAUUGUACUUUUGGUGGCUCUAGUUUCACCAUAACUUUGGGUUUUUAAUUUGUUUUGUUAAUUGCAUGAAUAUUCUGUGAGAUUUAAGUGUGUUACAAUGAAUUUGGUUUACCAACAUAUGUUUGUUUAAUUGUUCUUAUUCUUAAGUCAAGCUUAAAGCAACCAAGAAAUGUUUGCAAAGAAGGAAGCGUAGGACACUUCGAGUGGUGAUGAUAAGAAUUAG
rnacentral:lncRNA from 1 species